rnacentral:tRNA from 1 species
GGUGAGAUGGCCGAGCGGUCUAAGGCGCCAGACUAAGGAUCUGGUCCGUGUAGGGCGUGGGUUCGAAUCCCACUCUCAUCA